rnacentral:tRNA from 5 species
GGAGAGAUGGCAGAGUGGUUUAAUGCACCGGUCUUGAAAACCGGCGAGGGUUAGUAGCCCUUCAAGAGUUCGAAUCUCUUUCUCUCCGCCA